UCUUUAUGUAAGUUUUUUCCAAAGAAUUAUUAGUUAAGUUCUUUAAAUUUAAAGAUUUUGGCGGUAUUUUAGUCUUUUCAGAGGAACCUGUUCUGUAAUUGAUGAUCCACGAUUAAAAAGAUUUUUGUUAGUAAUUUGUAUAUCGUUGUUGUUUGAAUAUUUUAUAAGAAUUUAAUGUUCAAUAGUUUAAAUUUUAAAUUAAAUCAGAUCAAGGUGCAGUUUAUACAAGAAUAGAAAUGGGUUACAAUAAAUUUAUUUUUGGAUUUUUUUUUAAAAAAUUUGAUGAAAUUGGAUUUGAAAGUAAUUUUUUUUAUAUUUUUAAGAUGAUUAAGCUCUAGAAUAUGU
rnacentral:rRNA from 1 species